rnacentral:rRNA from 1 species
UAAGGAAUAUUGGUCAAUGGACGCAAGUCUGAACCAGCCAUGCCGCGUGAAGGAUGAAGGUCCUCUGGAUUGUAAACUUCUUUUAUCUGGGACGAAAACGGGAUUUUUAUCUCAAUUGACGGUACUAGAGGAAUAAGCACCGGCUAACUCCGUGCCAGCAGCCGCGGUAAUACGGAGGGUGCGAGCGUUAUCCGGAUUUACUGGGUUUAAAGGGUGCGUAGGUGGGCUUAUAAGUCAGUGGUGAAAUCUCCGAGCUUAACUUGGGAACUGCCGUUGAUACUAUAGGUCUUGAAUUAUCUGGAGGUAAGCGGAAUAUGUCAUGUAGCGGUGAAAUGCUUAGAUAUGACAUAGAACACCAAUUGCGAAGGCAGCUUACUACAUAUAAAUUGACGCUGAGGCACGAAAGCGUGGGGAUCAAACA